rnacentral:rRNA from 1 species
UGGGGAAUAUUGCACAAUGGGCGCAAGCCUGAUGCAGCCAUGCCGCGUGUGUGAAGAAGGCCUUCGGGUUGUAAAGCACUUUCAGCGGGGAGGAAGGCGUUAAGGUUAAUAACCUUGGCGAUUGACGUUACCCACAGAAGAAGCACCGGCUAACUCCGUGCCAGCAGCCGCGGUAAUACGGAGGGUGCAAGCGUUAAUCUGAAUUACUGGGCGUAAAGCGCACGCAGGCGGUUUGUUAAGUCAGAAGUGAAAUCCCCGGGCUCAACCUGGGAACUGCAUCUGAUACUGGCAAGCUUGAGUCACGUAAAGGGGGGUAGAAUUCCAGGUGUAGCGGUGAAAUGCGUAGAGAUCUGGAGGAAUACCGGUGGCGAAGGCGGCUGCCUGGACGAAAACUGACGCUCAGGUGCGAAAGCGUGGGGAGCAAACAGG